rnacentral:lncRNA from 1 species
GAACAAACACAUCUUCAUUUGCAUCCAGCAAGAUGUAACCUUAGCAACAGUGUGUAUUUUUGGACUUCUUUUCAUUUAAUGCAAAUGAGGCACCACCGAUAGACCCGGAAUCUGACGACAGAAUUCAACGUGACCAAUUCAUGUGUCUGAGGCCAUGUCUCUUGCCAGCCCAGCAAGAUUCUGAUUUCCUGUCAUCAGCAUGAAUCGCUCUGAGGGGGCCUUGGCCUCAGCCCCUUGCUCUGGAGUCUCCUUCUCUUCUGGUGCUGCUGCUGCCUCCUCCAUCCCGGGCUUGCGUUCCUCCGGAGUGGUUAGAGAAGACAGUCUUUCCAGCUCUAUGGGUUUGGAUUCUGUGACAUAAGUCAUGCUGGCCCAGAGGACUUCGGAGCCUCCUUCGGAGGCUUGGAGCAAGACUGAUCGGAAAGUGCUAUUUGGCAACAGAAUCCCAGAACCUCCAACUGCCAUAUCACUUGGGAGCUGUGAAGAACUUGAUGGUUCAUUAUUGCCAAUUCCUACCUGGAAGCCCACAUUCUUCUCCUGUGAGCCUUUGCCCAAGCCUGGUGGCACCAGUAUGAACUAGCAGACAUCGUGGCUUAGAAGAAAUCCAAACACCAACAAGAUGUUCCUGUGCACUUUUUGCAGACACACCCACAUGUCGUGGGUGAUUCUUAUCUGCUCAGUUGUGUCUGGCUCCCACUGGCAUAGUCUUCCUUCACUCUCCCUACUGUCAGGAAUGUGGCUGGGGAGGGCGUCUGGAAAGAAAACAACGGUUUCAAGUUGCCAUCACAUGUAGAUGCUUGCCGUCAGCCUGCAUUAGGUAGAUGUGUGGGAGUAUUGCUACCGCACUCUUCAUUUAGUUAUAUUAUUAAAGAUAUAUAAACUCUUUGCCCAAGCAAUUCCACAUUUAUGGGUUUAUACUCCACGUAAACUGGAAUCUGUGAGCAAAUGUAUACAAGGACAUUUGUAAAAGCAGAAGAUUGGGAGCAACCAAAUUAUUUAAUUAUGUAAGUGUUGGGUUAAAUAAUUAUGUAGUAUCUAUACAGUGGAAUGUUAUGUGGCCAUUAAUAAGACUGAGGUAGACCUCUAUGUCCCUCUGUGUAAUCAUCUCUAAGAUCUAUGGCAAAAUACAACGCUCGUUUUCAAUUACUGCCUAACAUCCCCAAAUGUAUACUUAUCAUAGUUGCGCUUAUCUAGUGCCCUAAUGGGAGUCAGUUAUGUGGCUUGCUAGGUUUCAUUUAUCCAAACAGGAUCAGAAUGCAGAUCUUUGCCCUUGCAUUUUUGCUGUACAUUUCUAAUCAUCUCUUUAAGAUAGACCUGGCAUUAAAAUAUUUGGUUCAUAAAGCUUACAUCUUUGCUAUUUGGACGCAUGUUGCCAAAUAGCUCUGCAAAGGAUUUGUGCACAUUGACAAUUUCAUCAGCAGAGUAUGAGGGGGUCCAUCCCCCCAGCGCCUUUUUUGUGGUAGGCAGACUUUGAGGAUGGUAGCCAAUGAUCCUUGUCUGCUGGUGACCACCUUUGUGUCAUUCCCUCCUCUUGGGUGUAGGCUGGACCUAGUGAUUUGUCUCUAAGGAACUGAAUAAGGCAAAAGAGAUAAAUGUUUUUCCUAUAACUCUAUCACACAUGACUAUGACUUCGCCUUGCUGGGACUCUCUCUCUUGUUGGCACUUUCUCUUGCCUUCUCAGUUUGCACAUUUUGAGGAAACUAGCUGCUGUACUGGAACAUCCCACCUGCCGAGGAACAGAGGGCAACCUACAGCCAACAGUUAUCAAGGACCUGAGCCCGACACCCACAGGAACUGACUCCUGCCAAUCCCACACGCAGAAGCCUAGACGUGGAUCCUCCGUGCUUGAACUUUUAGACGAGACUGCAGCCACAGCUAACACCUUGAUUAUAGCUCCAGGAAACACUCUGAAGCAGUGCACUCAGCUAAGCCGUGUCUGGACUCCUGGCACACAGAAUCUGUGAGAGAAUAAAUGUGUGCUGCUUCAAGCCCCUAAAUUUUGG